UUGUCAACUCACAGAGCUAAACAACUCGAUCUCCCCUCUUCACUCUCCUCUCCACCAUAAUAUAUACUCGCAACACACACACACAAAUUGCUCUCUCAAGCUUUACUUCGAGGAGCAAUUGAGAAGAUGAGUACUCUUUCAGUGGCGCAGGGUUUUACGAAGUCUUUGGCGAUGACAGUACUGUCUGAGAUCGGAGACAAGACGUUCUUCGCCGCUGCGAUCUUGGCAAUGCGUCACCCAAGGAGACUCGUCUUGUCAGGGUGCCUUGGAGCUUUAAUUGUAAUGACCAUUCUGUCUGCUGUUGUUGGUUGGGCUGCUCCCAAUUUGGUCUCCCGCAAAUGGACCCAUCAUAUUACAACAUUGUUGUUCUUGGGAUUUGGAGUAUGGUCUUUGUGGGAUGCAUUCCAUGAUGGGGAAUCUGAGGAACUGGCUGAAGUUGAAGCAGAGCUGGAUGCGGAUAUAAAAGCUAAUGGUGGAGCAACCAAGGAGAAGAAUAAGGAUUCUGACGAGUUAAAGAAGCAGAGGCGGCCUCUUCUCACUCAAUUCUUCUCACCCAUCUUUCUGAAGGCUUUUUCAAUUACCUUCUUUGGUGAAUGGGGUGACAAGAGCCAGCUUGCUACCAUUGGUUUGGCUGCGGAUGAGAAUCCACUAGGAGUUGUUCUUGGCGGAAUCUUGGGACAAGCUUUAUGUACUACAGCUGCUGUCUUAGGAGGGAAAGGCCUUGCAACUUCAAUAUCUGAAAGAAUAGUGGCACUUGCGGGUGGAUCUCUUUUCAUUGUUUUCGGAAUUCAGUCCUUCCUUUCAACAGUCGAGUAAUCAUGGUGUUUACCUUAUGGAUAGUUACCCUGUUCUCUGGAAAUGAAGGAUUAUCUGGCUGCAUAUUUCAUUUGGUGAAGUCCUUAAUAAGAAGGACCUUAUAAAGUGGCAAUAUGAGGUGAUGAAUGAAAGAAAAAGGGAUUCUCUGGUCAUUUCCUCGGCAGUUUAGCCAAAUUAUCUAUGUGAUGUGGAUCAUAUAUUAAGCUUAUUCCUUGUUUUUACUUGUCUAGUUAAAGCGGAUGUUUGGGCCAAGCAGACCAUAAUUUUGAGUAAAAAUUGCACAGGGCGUCCUAUUUGGUCGCCCCCAUUUAACCUAUACCCAUAUUUUUAAAAUUAUUUAACCUAUACCCUAAUUUUUA